AUACGGAGGGGGCUAGCGUUGUUCGGAAUUACUGGGCGUAAAGCGCGUGUAGGCGGCUGGCCAAGUCUGGUGUGAAAGCCCGGGGCUUACCCCCGGAAGUGCGCCGGAAACUGGUCAGCUAGAGUAUGGGAGAGGGAAGCGGAAUUCCUGGUGUAGCGGUGAAAUGCGUAGAUAUCAGGAGGAACACCGGCGGCGAAGGCGGCUUCCUGGACCAAUACUGACGCUGACACGCGAAAGCGUGGGGAGCAAACAGGAUUAGAAACCCCGGUAGUCC
rnacentral:rRNA from 1 species